AGUACACUACCGGCCUAACCCGCCGGCUAUGUAUAACCCUUUGUUGUCCGACUCUGUUGCCUCCGGGGCGACCCUGCCUUCGGGCGGGGGCCCCGGGUGGACACUUCAAACUCUUGCGUAACUUUGCAGUCUGAGUAAAUUUAAUUAAUAAAUUAAAACUUUCAACAACGGAUCUCUUGGUUCUGGCAUCGAUGAAGAACGCAGCGAAAUGCGAUAAGUAAUGUGAAUUGCAGAAUUCAGUGAAUCAUCGAAUCUUUGAACGCACAUUGCGCCCCCUGGUAUUCCGGGGGGCAUGCCUGUUCGAGCGUCAUUUCACCACUCAAGCCUCGCUUGGUAUUGGGCGACGCGGUCCGCCGCGCGCCUCAAAUCGACCGGCUGGGUCUUCUGUCCCCUCAGCGUUGUGGAAACUAUUCGCUAAAGGGUGCCCGGGAGGCUACGCCGUAAAACAACCCCAUUUCUAAGGUUGACCUCGGA
rnacentral:rRNA from 1 species